rnacentral:misc_RNA from 1 species
GAUGAAGAACGUAGCGAAAUGCGAUAAGUAGUGUGAAUUGCAGAAUUCAGUGAAUCAUCGAAUCUUUGAACGCACAUUGCGCCCCUUGGUAUUCCAUGGGGCAUGCCUGUUCGAGCGUCAUUUGUACCUUCAAGCUCUGCUUGGUGUUGGGUGUUUGUCUCGCCUCUGCGUGUAGACUCGCCUUAAACCAAUUGGCAGCCGGCGUAUUGAUUUCGGAGCGCAGUACAUCUCGCGCUUUGCACUCAUAACGACGACGUCCAAAAGUACAUUUUUACACUCUUGACCUCGGAUCAGGUAGGGAUACCCGCUGAACUUAAGCAUAUCAAUAAGCGGAGGA